CAUGACGAAGCACACGAAGGUGUGCUCGAAUCACUUUACCGCCGACAGUUACUUGCCGAAUGUAGUCGGCGAUUGGCGUUACCUCCGGGUUGACGCCGUGCCGAGAAUGUUUGCCUUUGGAAAACCCAAACCACCAGCAAGAAAAAAGCCUAAAGAACAACAGCAGUGUGUCGCGAAAAGAAAACUGCUUUCUGCCGUCGGCCAGGCUAGCAGCUCCAGGUUUGUGUCACAACCACCGCUUUCUCCCAGUAGUGAUGUCGCCGUGUCGCGGGAUUCUUCAACAGCUGUUGAAACUAUGGAUGCCACAGAGUGCGAAGCAAGUGUUUCAACGCCGGCCAGUGCAACCCACGUCCGAGCCCACGAAGUGUGUGAUUAAGCAUGUGCAGUUAGAGUGUCGGAGCUCAAGAAGCAGCUUUCUGUUCUCCAAAUGCGCAUAUACCAACUGGAAAGCGAACCUAGAAGGUAGGACCGAAGAGGCGAAGUCUGCAAAAGCAAGUGCAGAGAGAGUGCCUGAACUCGAGACGCAGCUCUCCCUACUUCAAUUGCGUAUACAACAACUGGAGAGCGACUUGGAAAUUAGAGCCAAAGAGGUGAAGUCAGCACAAGAUGUGCUUUAUAAAGCUCUAAGAGAGUAUGAAAUACUCAAUAUGGAAACCAAAAAGCUUGAUAGGCAUAAAAGCAGGCAAUUUUCUGUUGAAUGCUUCAAGGAGAGCCCUGAGGACAUUAGUUUCUACCCUGGGCUUUCAAACUUUGAAUCAUUCAUGUGCUUCUUUCAUUUGAUAAACCCCAGUGAGUGUGUGGAAAAUAUAAAAGUGUGGUCUAGGAGCUACUCAAGUACAUCAAGUAAUGCAGGGAGGCCGCACAUAUUGACAGCUAAGGACCAGCCUUUUCUUGUUUUCGUCAGUUUGUGCCUUGGGCUCUUCUAAAGGGCCCUUGCCUAUACUUUCAGGGUGCCCAUUGCUACACUAUCCAGAAUUUGUACCACAUGGAUCAGCUUUAUUUAUUUGCAGGUUGGCCAGGUGGACCUUUGGCUGAGCAGAGACAAAGUUAUGCCAGCCAUUUUUAAAGAGCAAUACCCAUCAACAAGGGCCAUUAUCGACGCAACAGAGACUACCAGUGUUCCAGAAGUGGACUCGCAGUAUGUGCAGCCAUCUCUCGCGAACUGCCUCACAGCUUUAGGAACAUCUAUGCUCCUCGGUCUUUUCCUGGCUUCAUAAAGACGUGAUUGGAGUGGGUUCCAGGGACGGCACGGCCCAUGAUGGGCGUUACGACCAGUGCUGCCCAGCCACUAUCUGAUGUUUUACAAGUGAUUACGUCUGCUCCUGUAUAUUUGCCACAAAAGGUACAAUUUAACGGGGGCUAAGGUGUAACAUACAAGUUAUGAAGCCAAUUUUGUUUUAUCAUAGGGAACUGCUGAAAGAAUUUCUGCUACUUUUUUUAUGUCAUUAAAUACAAGUCAAAUGUU